rnacentral:rRNA from 1 species
AUACGUAGGAUGCGAGCGUUAUCCGGAUUUAUUGGGUUUAAAGGGAGCGUAGGCGGGAUAUUAAGUCAGCUGUGAAAGUUUGCGGCUCAACCGUAAAAUUGCAGUUGAUACUGGGUGUCUUGAGUACAGUAGAGGCAGGCGGGAUUCGUGGUGUAUCGGUGAAAUGCUUAGAUAUCACGAAGAACUCCGAUUGCGAAGGCAGCCUGCUGGACUGUAACUGACGCUGAUGCUCGAAAGUGUGGGUAUCAAACAGGAUUAGAUACCCUGGUAGUCCACACAGUAAACGAUGAAUACUCGCUGUUUGCGAUAUACAGUAAGCGGCCAAGCGAAAGCGUUAAGUAUUCCACCUGGGGAGUACGCCGGCAACGGUGAAACUCAAAGGAAUUGACGGGG